UACGAAGGUCCCAAGCGUUGUUCGGAAUCACUGGGCGUAAAGGGAGCGUAGGCGGCGUGGUAAGUCAGAUGUGAAAUCCCGGGGCUCAACCCCGGAACUGCAUCCGAUACUGCCAUGCUAGAGGAUUGGAGAGGUAGCUGGAAUUCUUGGUGUAGCAGUGAAAUGCGUAGAGAUCAAGAGGAACACUCGUGGCGAAAGCGAGCUACUGGACAAUUCCUGACGCUGAGGCUCGAAGGCCAGGGCAGCGAAAGGG
rnacentral:rRNA from 1 species